rnacentral:rRNA from 1 species
AGCGGCGGACGGGUGAGUAACACGUAGGCAACCUGCCCCUUGGACUGGGAUAACUACCGGAAACGGUAGCUAAUACCGGAUAAUUCCUCUUAGUUCCUGCUAAGAGGCUGAAAGGCGGAGCAAUCUGUCACCAAGGGAUGGGCCUGCGGCGCAUUAGCUAGUUGGUGGGGUAACGGCUCACCAAGGCGACGAUGCGUAGCCGACCUGAGAGGGUGAACGGCCACACUGGGACUGAGACACGGCCCAGACUCCUACGGGAGGCAGCAGUAGGGGAAUCUUCCCGCAAUGGGGCGAAAGCCUGGACGGAGCAACGCCGCGUGAGUGGAUGAAGGUUUUCGGGAUCGUAAAGCUCUGUUGCCAGGGAAGAACGUUCUCCAAGAGUAACCUGCUAGAGAAGUGACGGUACCUGAGAAAGAAAGCCCCGGCUAACUAACGUGCCAGCAGCCGCGGGUAAUUACGUAGGGGGGCAAGCGGUUGUUCCGGAAUUAUUUGGGCGUAAAGCGCGCGGCAGGCGGCUGUUUAAGUCUUGUGUUUAAACCAUGGGCUCAACUGUGGUCGCACUGGAAACUGGGCAGCCUUGAGUGCAGAAGAGGAAAGUGGAAUUCCACGUGUAGCGUGAAAUGCGUAGAGUAUGUGAGGACACACGUGGC